rnacentral:lncRNA from 1 species
CCUGAAUAUAAGGCAUUGUAAUUUACACACUUUAUAAACUUUUCUGUUUAAAUAUUGUCAUUGAUUUUUGAUCAGAGGAAAUGUUCAGUUUGGGUUUCUGUAGCUCACUUCUUUUAGAAGAAAUAGGCUAUUGAAUCCCAUCUCUCUGAAAUUUUGCUUUUUCACCAAGGAAGGCAAAAAGAUGCUGCCCUGACAUAGCAGGGUGCAAAGCUCCCUUUUUUGUUUCAGGACCCUUUAAGCUGUUGCCAUCUCUUUUUUUUUUUUUUUUUUUUUUUUUUCUUUUCUGCACAGCCAUUCUUUGGGUGCUGCUUCUGUCUGGCUGGAGACCCUGCUUGCAGUUACCUGCUUCUGUGAAGGAGCUUAGCCUGGCUCUCAAAAUGAAGACUUUCAGGUCCAGGCAAAGAGAAGAUGGAAAGUUGUGGGAGAGCUGUGCAUGGAACAAGAGCCUUCAAAUCCUGGACAGACCUCAUGGGCAGCUGGCAGGUUUCUGUAGUUCCUGCAGCAGGAGAGGGCAGCCUGGAGGACCUUAGCAGCUGCAGAAGGGUAUGCUAGAAAAUGAAGCAGGGGUAGAUGAUUUCUGUGGCAGAAUGAAGUUAGAACUGGAACUCAGAAAA